rnacentral:lncRNA from 1 species
UCCUUUUGUUUCUUACUAGGUUGUUACAAGUAUAGAUGGUAAUUUUUUUGGAAAAAGGUGUAGCCUUCUGGCUGGAGUAUUACACCAGAUGAAAGUUAUAAAUAUACUAAUUUAUUUUAUUCACAAUUGGGCUGUGAUGAUACAAUUUUGAUUUCUUUAGAUGUAUUUCAGGCUUUAAGUUGAUUUGUCGUAUCUUGGCGAGGCAACCCUAAUGGCAUUUGACGUUCAUUCUCCCCUUCAAAUGUAAUUGGGUCUACAGCAAUGGUGGUACUCUUAUCUCUGUCUGACUUUUGCUGACAGACUUGAGCCUUACUUUAAAUUAUUAUAAUUGCUGCUUGAUUUAAUCAAAGAUUUGAUCACUAAUUCCUUUUUUUUUCAUUUGUAUAAUAAUCUUCAGAUCAUGUAAAUUUUUGAUAUUCUUAUUGGUCGUUUUCGCCUUUGAAACAAUCUCUAGAGAGCUAUACCAGAAAUUCUUAGGUGUGCUGCUUUGGUUUACAGUUAUAGCUCAUUCAUCAUAUGAUGUUUUACUUAUGACAAAGCUUUAGCCUUUUCCUUUUGCUUUAUACUAUUUUGAUCAUGCUAGAGAAAUUGCUUGAUGCUUUGGUUCAAUUUUUAUAGUGACCCAAAAUAAGCUUUUGUCAAUGUGCCUUAAACUUUUGAGAAAUUUUGUGGUCAAGUGUAGAAACUACAUGAUGUUUAGAAUGAAAUAUCUAAAUAUUUGGGAGGUCUUGUAAGCAUAUACAUCUUAAUAGAGAAGUAAAUACGAUAUUUGAUGGUUGUUUUUUUUUUAAAAUAGUGAUACCUUUUUACUUCAUUUUUUGGCCUCCUGGGUUCUAAAGAAUUAGAGAAAAGAAGCAUUUUUCUUCUUUGUUUUUUUUGUAAACUUUAUUUUUUGGAGAAACGGGGAUAGGCAUUGCUGGAGUUAUGUUACUUUCAAAGGGCUACAUUUGAUGGUCUAUUUUGAGGAUAGAGCCUUGUAAAUCUCGAGCAAUGGAUAGUGCCAUACAGCUGGCAUUGCUGUUAAAGAGAUUUGAACGUCUACAAGUGUGGAAGAAGUAAAAUUGACCUGCAAGCACAUAAAAUAGAGGGAAUAUCUACAACAGUGGAUGUGAAUGGAAUAUUAGAAUGAACAGUUUUCUCAAUUCUUUUUAUCAUAAUUGGUUUAGAUUGACUAGAUCAAUUUCAAAUCCCCUCUGAUCACCCACCAAAGGUUUCUGAAUAGCUUUAAAUUGUGUACCCCUGACUAGGAAAUGAAUCACAUUGCUACACGGUUAUAGUUUUCCCUUUUUCUUUUUAGUUAUUAGUUCAAAAUCUCUUAUAUCUUUGCAUCCAUACAAGAAAUGAUUUUUGUUUCGUUCUUUUGAUCCUAUGUUACUCAACUAAUUUGUUUGGUUUAAUUCUUUUGCAACUUGAUUGAGAUGGACGACUAUGAAGCUUAAAGAGUCAGUGAUGGCAAUUCUCUAGAAGCACUGAAGUUAAUGAACUUUACUCGAGAUGGGUUCAAAGUGAACUGCAUGAGGUAACAUGCUCGAACUAAAAGUUAUCAACGGUUUGUUUUGUUAUAUGCCUAAUUAACAAUUUAUGGAUUUGACCAUUUACAUCUGGGAUAGAUAAUACUGUCAAAAUCCACAGUGAAAACACACUUUUUUUUGUGUUUCACAUUUUUUGCUAAAUAGCUAAAAGUGAAAGAAUCUUUGUUAUGCGGUUGACCUUUCUCUGUUUCUCUGAUUUGAAUGAUGAAAUGAUGAUAUGCACAUAUUUUCAGCUUUUAGCUUCUACUGUUUGAAAUUUUCUGCACUUUUUCUUUUGGUUUAGUUGAUGUUCUGAUACGAACUCGACCCAGCAAGAACCUGUCUUGAAGAACCAAGUCGAUCAGGCAGCGGAAGGAUAUAUCUUGAUCAGGUUAUGGAACAAUAACUACCUUGCUAGACCUAAAGAGAACCCGCCUCUAGAAACCUAGUGGAUUGGUUAUUGGUUAAGGAACAAUAACUACCUUGCUAGACCGAAAGAGAAUCCGUCUCUAGAAACCUAGUGGAUUGGCUAUUGGCUUGAAAGAACAAGAUGAUGUAAUCAUCUUGCCUUGAACACCACAAGUAUCCAAGCUAAAUACUUGAUACAGUUCAAGAAGAAACUCAAGUUCCAUCAAGGAACUCCAUAAAAGGAGACAACUCUCUUUUUAUUAAUUCAUCUUCAAUAUCAUGUCCCUGAAUAGUUAAAUAAAGUUGGCUAUUUAUAGCCUUACAAGACUCAAAACCCUAAUCUAAAUUGGAAAUAAUACAAACUUCCUUAUUUGACUUGACACAACUUCCUAAAUAAAUUUGGAAACAAUUAACUACUUUCCUAAAACUAUAAUUCAAUUAGAAAAAGAAACUAAUUGACUCAAUUGGCUUAACUAUGGUCAACAUGACCUUAGCCUUUAUUUCCCUUAAUAACUCAAGACUAACUAACAAGUAUUGCUGAAAACUUACUUAAAUAAAUAACAAGAAAUAAGCAUGACAAAUCUUCAAUGAUUCUUGAACCCGAUUGCACCAUCAAUCAUCAAUUGAAUUUCCUUGAAUUUGAAGGGAAUCCAAAUCUUCAUGUUCUCAUCAUGUUCUAUUGUUCAUACAUGUUAUGUUGGUAAAAAGGUGGCAUGAAUGAAGGUAUGUCCAUGAUUUCUAGGCUAAAAUGUAUAAGCUAUUUUUUGACUUUCUAUUCUUUAUUUAUUUGUCUACCAUUCACGUUUUAGGAAAAAUUGGCUGACAAGAGGUAUUAUUCAAAUAUAAGAUGAUGGCUCAAAAUGCAUAUGCUGUUUAUUUGCUUUCUAUUGUUUAUUUAUUCAUCCAACAUUAAUGUUUGAGAAAAAGUUUAAGUGGCAAGCUCAAACUUAGGAGUAUGGAACAUGUUCUUGAUGACUUUAUUUUUAUAUUUGGUACUUUAGUAGUUCCUUAAAUUUUGGCAACAAAGCGUGGCAAAAACUACUGGUGCAUUAUUCGUGGUUUCACAAGAUUGUCAUUCUGGUAGUGGUUAUUAAAUUCUAAUUUGAUUCUUUUUUGGCAGGAUUUAAUUGAUGUUUAGAUAGUGGAAACUUGGUAUCUAAUGGAGUUUUGUCAUGAAUAUUAGAUACUUUCCCUUCUCUGUAAUAUCUUUAGCAAAUUGUUAUUACUUACUUCAAGAAUUGCUUACUAUAGUAUAGAUGUCAAAUUUUGUGACAAUUCUUUUUAAUCUUUCAACACUAAUACAUAGCUCCAAGAGAAUUGGCAUUUCUCUAGAUAUAGCUGCAAGAGGGCACUUUUCGAUGAAUGUAUCUUAAAUUCUGACUUAUUCCCUUUUCACAAUUAGUGACAUGCAUAGUGCAUUGGAAGAGCCUACCCCAAUUAUACGUGUUUUAUACUCUUCAACUUUA